UACGAAGGGGGCUAGCGUUGCUCGGAAUCACUGGGCGUAAAGGGUGCGUAGGCGGGUCUUUUAAGUCAGGGGUGAAAUCCUGGAGCUCAACUCCAGAACUGCCUUGAUACUGAAGAUCUUGAGUUCGGGAGAGGUGAGUGGAACUGCGAGUGUAGAGGUGAAAAUUCGUAGAUAUUCGCAAGAACACCAGUGGCGAAGGCGGCUCACUGGCCCGAUACUGACGCUGAGGCACGAAAGCGUGGGGAGCAAA
rnacentral:rRNA from 1 species